UACGAGAGGCCCAAACGUUAUUCGGAAUUACUGGGCUUAAAGAGUUCGUAGGCGGCAUGAAAAGUAGGGUGUGAAAGCCCUCGGCUUAACCGAGGAAUUGCGCUCUAAACUGUCGUGCUAGAGGAACCUAGAGGUGAGCAGAACAGAUGGUGGAGCGGUGAAAUGCGUUGAUAUCAUCUGGAAUACCGGAGGCGAAGGCGGGUUGCUGGGCCGACACUGACGCUGAUGCGCGAAAGCCAGGGGAGCGAACGGG
rnacentral:rRNA from 1 species